rnacentral:rRNA from 1 species
UACGUAGGUGGCAAGCGUUGUCCGGAUUUACUGGGCGUAAAGAGCGCGCAGGCGGUCGUUCAAGUCGAGUGUGAAAGCCCCCGGCUCAACUGGGGAGGGUCACGCGAUACUGAUCGACUCGAAGGCAGGAGAGGGUAGUGGAAUUCCCGGUGUAGUGGUGAAAUGCGUAGAUAUCGGGAGGAACACCAGUGGCGAAGGCGGUUACCUGGAGCUUUGCUGACGCUGAUGCGCGAAAGCGUGGGGAGCGAUCCGG